rnacentral:ncRNA from 1 species
CCGCACGCGUCGGGAGAGCGCGUGACCGCGUCGCUUGUGCAACGCCGGUCGCGCCGCCGAAGGGGCACACCCGCAAACUCUCAGGCAAAAGGACCGACCGCGUCGG